rnacentral:rRNA from 1 species
GACAGAGGGGGCAAGCGUUGUUCGGAAUUACUGGGCGUAAAGGGCGCGUAGGCGGCCUGUUAAGUCGAACGUGAAAUCCCCGGGCUCAACCCGGGAACUGCGUCCGAUACUGGCAGGCUUGAAUCCGGGAGAGGGAUGCGGAAUUCCAGGUGUAGCGGUGAAAUGCGUAGAUAUCUGGAGGAACACCGGUGGCGAAGGCGGCAUCCUGGACCGGCAUUGACGCUGAGGCGCGAAAGCCAGGGGAGCAAACGGG